CAGGACCUCCCGGUAAGCGAGGAAGAAGAGGCCGUGAUGGAGAACUGGGACCUCCUGGCCCUCCAGGUCCAAAGGGUGAUAAGGGGGAUCAAGGUGACCAAGGACCUCG